GAGAAGUCAGACAAACGGCGAGAAUAUGGUGAUCGCCCGUAGGAAGAGUUUCUGGUUAUUAUCGGAGAACUCACAGAGUUUCUGGCACUGGAAGGCCUGCAAGCAAAACCACCACAAGGUCAGCUUUUCGGAUGGUAGAUAGCCGAUGGGCAAUGACAAGUGUUGUUCUUCCUAUCAUGAAUCUGUCCAGAGCCUCUUGCACUAGCUUUUCUGACUCCGAAUCCAAUGCACUCGUUGCCUCAUCCAAAAGAAGGAUCACCGGGUUCUUAAGCAUUGCCCUUGCUAUAGCUAUUCUCUGCUUCUGUCCUCCCGAUAACUGUAACCCCCUCUCUCCUACCUGCAAUUUUCAUUUAACAGCUCACUUUCUGUUGGUCCAGUUAAGAGUCGUUUCACGAGAUCAUCAUGAUGCAUCUCAGCGUUUUAUGAGCAAAUUGAUACAAAUCUUUGAUGUCUGUUGUGGACUUGUUCUCGAUUUUAGGUUUGAAUGAAACUAAGCAUAUGCACUGUUGACAGAAACCAAUCAACCAUUUUACCCUAUUCUUUAACGCAUUGACUUCUUUAACUAUAACAACAACUACAACAAUAAUAAUAAUUUGUCUUGUGUGUUGACUAAACAAGCCACUUAGCCAUUAAUGUAACUAGGAAAA